rnacentral:rRNA from 1 species
UUGACCUCGGAUCAGGUAGGGAUACCCGCUGAACUUAAGCAUAUCAAUAAGCGGAGGAAAAGAAACCAACAGGGAUUGCCUCAGUAACGGCGAGUGAAGCGGCAAGAGCUCAAAUUUGAAAGCUGGCCCCUUCGGGGUCCGCGUUGUAAUUUGCAGAGGAUGCUUCGGGUGCAGCCCCCGUCUAAGUGCCCUGGAACGGGCCGUCAUAGAGGGUGAGAAUCCCGUCUGGGACGGGGUGUCUGCGUCCGUGUGAAGCUCCUUCGACGAGUCGAGUUGUUUGGGAAUGCAGCUCUAAAUGGGUGGUAAAUUUCAUCUAAAGCUAAAUACUGGCCGGAGACCGAUAGCGCACAAGUAGAGUGAUCGAAAGAUGAAAAGCACUUUGAAAAGAGAGUUAAACAGCACGUGAAAUUGUUGAAAGGGAAGCGUUUGCGACCAGACUCGCCCGCGGGGUUCAGCCGGCAUUCGUGCCGGUGUACUUCCCCGUGGGCGGGCCAGCGUCGGUUUGGGCGGCCGGUCAAAGGCCCUCGGAAUGUAUCACCUCUCGGGGUGUCUUAUAGCCGAGGGUGCAAUGCGGCCUGCCUGGACCGAGGAACG